rnacentral:lncRNA from 1 species
CGAUAACAACUAACCAUAGUAACAACCAAUUUCAAGAACUACGUGAAUUCCUUUUCUAUUAUCAUCAACCAAAAUUUCAAUUACAAUCCAAAAAUUCAAAAAUAAAGAAAAACAAGAAUCAAGAAACUAAUUCCCCAAAUACAAAUCAAAAAUGGAAAAAACUACUCAACACCAGAUUCACGGUGUUGUGAAUCAUAUUGUGCAGCCAUAGAAUAAGAAGAAGAAGCAAAGCAUUGAGACGAGAGCAACAGAUUCGAAUGCCGUAAUGAUUCCCCACAAAAAAUCAUCAACAAUGGAGAUGUUGAUGAACUCCGACCACCGCGCCGUCAAUGAUAACUUUGACUUUGCCCAACGGAAUAGCGAUGCCAUCAGUGAAAGAACAAUCUGUUAAUUCCUUUUGUUUCGUGUGUCUUGUGUGUGAAAAUAAUAGAAAUCGAGAUUCGGCUAUUUAUAUCGAAAAUUUAAUCACCGUAAAUACUGGCUUAGCUGUAAUUAAUUGUUCCAUGAGUUAAUUAUUAGUGUGGC